GACCGCGUAGCUCAGUUGGAAGAGCAUUGGGCUGGUAUUCCAAAGGUCGUAGGUUCGAAUCCCACCGUGGCUG
rnacentral:tRNA from 1 species